GUUUAUGUUUAGGAAUGAUUUAACUGAUGGUUAGGAAAGUUGCCAAAGAAUCUUCUCGCUGAUUCACAUUCUCCAGAAUGUGACUUCCAUGAUCACAAUGACCUUGUCUGCUUUGUCCAUUCUCGCAACUCUAGCACCUAGCAUUGGACCCAGCACAUAGUAGGCCCUCAACAAACCGUGUUAUUCCAUUUCUAAAUUCUUUUGGAAGUCACACAACCCGAUAGGUAAGGGGUUGGCAAUGGCAAAGACGCGUCUUGGUCCAGGCAUGCUUGUUUUGUUCUUGUGUAGUGCAUGGGCAGCUGGCUGUUUUGCUUGACCUCACUGUACACUGUGGAAGGAAACCUAGACAUGGCUGAAAGCAUGAAGCAGUGUUAAUCCCACCAACAGCGAAUAAGACCACUACAUAGUGAAAGCCAAAUUUGAAGCUAGCUUUAAUUAAAUACUGGCCAGGUGGAUGGGCUCUGGCCAGGUCCAUACCCAGGUUCCCAGGAAAUGGACCAGAAUCGUAGUUUGUAUCCGUUUAAGAAUGAAAACCCAUGCUUUAUUUCUUUUCCCAUCAGGUCCAAGCAGGGGCAACUAUACAUUCUGACGUGCCUCCCUCCUGUGAACCUCCUGCCCCUGUGUGAUCAAGGACAUCAGUGCAGAUGGGUCAAACAAACUUGUUUAGAGAGUGAAAACAUGUGGCUUGUUAUCGCCCAUAAACAGCAGCCUCCAGCAUUUCAGGAUCCAUCUGUCCUUCGGAACUUCAGACUGUUUCAAUAGCUCCCGGACAAGGCAAGCUGCUGGCUGCAGUGGUCCCUCACAAGCACGUUUGGAUCUAGGUCUUUGUGUCAACAUGGCUCCCCAGAGACCAGCACACAAUGGGCAGUGUUCUUGCGGACCAGAUGGGACCAGUGAUGCUACUGAGUGGUUCUGAUACUCAUCUGAUCCUGAGAAGAUGGGGAAGCAGGCUCUGGUGCUUUGAGAGGUGUAUUUUCCUAUUCCUCCUCAUCGGUUCUUUCGGGGACUUUCAUAGUCAACGCUUUCUGCCUCUGCCUCCUCUGCCUGUGAGCUCGAGCCACCACCGUGGACACAUGGUUCUGUUCUCCUGAUAGCUGACAGACUGCAAGUGAACACAGGCAAAUAGGCUGUUCUUUUCCUUCCACGCACUGCUGCGGAUCUUGUCCUUGCUGUGAACAUUGGCAACCCCAUUCUUCAUGGUCAUGGAGAAAAGAAAGGGGAGAGGGUGAGCUCAGACUCAGGGCUCCAGAGAAGAAGGGACUCCUGGGAAAUGGUUGGUGUUAGAUGCAUGUUUGCUGAGUUAUUGGAAAGGUGGUUUCUGGGAAGGAAGAAAUCUGUGCUUUGGAUUACAGGUUUGAGUUCAAGCCCCACCAUUUCUGUUUACCAACUGUAUGAUCCAGGAAAACUUACAAAACUUCUAUUGGCCUAUUUCCUCAUAUA